AAGACCGGAGUCAAAUGGGUUACACAGAUUCACACGGUGAGCUUCACACUGUUCAGUCGCCCUUACUAGGUGUAUCAUUAUUAUUUUCUUUUCCUCCGCUGACAAUUCUGGUUGAUCCUGCCAGUAGUCAUACGCUCGUCUCAAAGAUUAAGCCAUGCAUGUCUAAGUAUAAAUAUUUUACUUUAAAACUGCGAACGGCUCAUUAUAUCAGUUAUAAUUUAUUUGAUAAUCCCUUACUACUUGGAUACCCGUAGUAAUUCUAGAGCUAAUACAUGCAUCAUAACCCGACUAUUUUGGAAGGGUUGUAUUUAUUAGGUAAAAACCAACUCCUUUCGAGGAUGCUGUGGUGAUUCAUAAUAACUUUGCGAAUCGCAUGGAUCUAUUCCGGCGAUGGAUCAUUCAAGUUUCUGCCCUAUUAACUUCGGACGGUAUGGUAUUGGCUUACCGUGGUCAUAAUGGGUAACGAAUAGUUAGGGCUAGAUUUCGGAGAGGGAGCCUGAGAAACGGCUACCACAUCCAAGGAAGGCAGCAGGCGCGUAAAUUACCCAAUACUGACACAGUGAGGUAGUGACAAUAAAUAACAAUGGUGGGUUUUUACAAAUCUGCCAAUUGGAAUGAGAACAAUUUAAAUCCCUUAUCGAGUAUCAAUUGGAGGGCAAGUCUGGUGCCAGCAGCCGCGGUAAUUCCAGCUCCAAUAGCGUAUAUUAAAGUUGUUGCAGUUAAAAAGCUCGUAGUUGAAAUACUGACAUAGUCGACCGGUCUCACGCAUUGUCGUGAGCACUUGUGUUGUAUUAGGUCAUUCUUGGAUUUUAGCCAGUCUGGCAUUAAGUUGUCGGGUUGGUGAAAACCAUCGUUUACUGUGAAAAAAUUAGAGUGUUCAAAGCAGACUUAUGUCGUUGAAUAGAUUAGCAUGGAAUAAUAAUAUAGGACUUUUGUACUAUUUUGUUGGUUAGGUGUAAAAGUAAUGAUCAAUAGGGACAGUUGGGCGUAUUCGUAUUUCGUUGCUAGAGGUGAAAUUCUUGGAUUUCCGAAAGACGAACUACUGCGAAAGCAUUUACGAAGGAUGUUUUCAUUAAUCAAGAACGAAAGUUAGGGGAUCGAAGAUGAUUAGAUACCAUCGUAGUCUUAACCAUAAACUAUGCCGACUCGGGAUUGGGCGUUGUUUUUUGACUCGUCCAGCACCGUAUGGGAAACCAUUAGUCUUUGGGUUCCGGGGGGAGUAUGGUCGCAAGACUGAAACUUAAAGAAAUUGACGGAAGGGCACCACCAGGAGUGGAGCCUGCGGCUUAAUUUGACUCAACACGGGAAAACUUACCAGGUCCAGACAUAAUGAGGAUUGACAGAUUGAGAGCUCUUUCUUGAUUUUAUGGGUGGUGGUGCAUGGCCGUUCUUAGUUGGUGGAGUGAUUUGUCUGGUUAAUUCCGUUAACGAACGAGACCGCCGCCUGCUAAAUAGUUCCGUGAAUCAUUUUUGAUUGAUGAGAGCUUCUUAGAGGGACGUCCAUUCUACAAGAUGGAGGAAGAUGGCGGCAAUAACAGGUCUGUGAUGCCCUUAGAUGUCCUGGGCCGCACGCGCGCUACACUGAUGCAUUCAACGAGUCUAAAACCUUGGCCGAGAGGCCUGGGUAAUCUUUUUAAUGUGCAUCGUGAUAGGGAUAGAUUAUUGCAAUUAUUAAUCUUGAACGAGGAAUUCCUAGUAAACGUAUAUCAUCAGUAUACAUUGAUUACGUCCCUGCCCUUUGUACACACCGCCCGUCGCACCUACCGAUUGAACGGUCCGAUGAACACCCGAGCGCGGACUUUGUUUCCUUCAUUGGAGAUUAAGACCGUAAACCCGUGUAAAUCUUAUCGUUUAGAGGAAGGUGAAGUCGUAACAAGGUUUCCGUAGGUGAACCUGCGGAAGGAUCAUUACCACACCGAUCCAAGACUUUUACCCGUGAAAAUGCUGCCCUUCUGGGUAGCACCUUUAACAAAAUACUGGUGGAGCUCACAUGUUAGGUUUAGGACGCUAAACCUAACUAGUGCAGGCUCUACCUCCCAAAACUACUAAUGAAAUAACAACCUGAAUCUCAAAGAGGAUGUGGCGAUAUGAUUGGGUUCUCCUGAUUUAUCUCUGCCCCUCUUGAUAAAAUAUAGUACAACUUUCAGCAAUGGAUGUCUAGGUUCCCACAACGAUGAAGAACGCAGCGAAAUGCGAUACGUUAUGCGAAUUGCCCGAUCUCGUGAAUCAUCAAAACUUUGAACGCACAUUGCGCUCCAGGGUCACGCCCGGGAGCAUACUCAUUUGAGUGUUUGUAACCCCANCUCAGCCGUUUAUGUAUAUUCGUUAUACAUCAUCGAGUUGAAAUUAUGGUGUGUGUCUUUCAUUAGACUCCACUGAAGUAUUGGAUCCUUAGUGUGAUAGCAGGACAUAUUUUGUUCCUUGCCCUGAGAUAAGGUUGAUCUGGUAAAUGCACUUAGUUGUGUUAUUGNCGAUCGCUUUUCCCUCUUGCCUGCAAGUUACAGAUGAAAUUCCUUGUUGUUUGGUCCAUGGAGUAGCCACCUGUCUAUCCUUGUGGUAGCUGUGAGCACUCUUUGAUUUUUUAAUCAGAUCUCAGAUUGAGUAAGACUACCCGCUGAAUUUAAGCAUAUUAUUA
rnacentral:rRNA from 1 species